UAGGGAAUCUCCGGCAAUGGACGGAAGUCUGACCGAGCAACGCCGCGUGAGUGAAGAAGGUUUUCGGAUCGUAAAGCUCUGUGUUAGAGAAGAACGUUGGUAGGAGUGGAAAAUCUACCAAGUGACGGUAACUAACCAGAAAGGGACGGCUAACUACGUGCCAGCAGCCGCGGUAAUACGUAGGUCCCGAGCGUUGUCCGGAUUUAUUGGGCGUAAAGCGAGCGCAGGCGGUUCUUUAAGUCUGAAGUUAAAGGCAGUGGCUUAACCAUUGUACGCUUUGGAAACUGGAGGACUUGAGUGCAGAAGGGGAGAGUGGAAUUCCAUGUGUAGCGAUGAAAUGCGUAGAUAUAUGGAGGACCACCGGUGGCGAAAGCGGCUCUCUGGUCUGUAACUGACGCUGAGGCUCGAAAGCGUAGGGAGCAAACAGG
rnacentral:rRNA from 1 species